rnacentral:lncRNA from 1 species
CUUCCUCUAAGAUAAAAGGCCAGUUGGUAGCUAUUUGAGGCUCUGUGGGCCCCCGUCCUCUCAUUUGCAGCUACUCAGCUCCGCCACGGCAGGGCAAGAGUGUUCACAGACAGUGUGUACUGAGUGGGUGUGGCAGUGUCAAUAAAUCUUUAUUUUUACAAAAACAGGCAGCCAGUCCAAGAACUGUCAUUGUCGGGUCUCCAAGAUGAGGAGCCGUGAGUGUCACGCGGACGCAUCACGAUGGCCUGUGGCAUCCAAAAAUGGAGACAGGUUUUCACAUCGACCCGCGCAGAAAGUGAGACAGAACGUCAGAGAGAGGGGGUCUGGUCCUCUCAUUUGGCACCCCCAGACCUCACUCUGCAUCUUUUUCCCUGGAGAGGGAGAGGUUUGGUCACAGAAGCCAGCGGCAUCGGCCUGGGGCAGAUGGACCUCGCCAGCUUGGGUGCGCCCUUCCUGAAGCCCCGGCCUUGGCCCCGCAGGCUCCCUUCCUGCGUGACCUCACUGUACAGGCUGCCCCUGUGGGUUGACCUUGACCCUCUGUCACCGGCUUGUUCUGCCAAGGAAGGAAGGGUAUUGGAAGGAGGGCCUUGGGCUGGCGGUGUGGCUCCACAGUGGGUUAAGAGGUAGUUAUCGUGGCAUUUUGUUCUGAUUGCUGGGGGCGGUAUAUAGGAAAAGGAAAUUUCUGCGCGUUCUGCUCAUUAGCAGUGACUUUCAGUUUGUUUAUCUCCUUACUCCUGACCUCAUUCCACAAAGGCUGGGAGGUGGGCAAGGCCUGCCAAGAUGUGCUGAACAUCUCAGCUGCUUUUCCUUCUCCAGAAAACAGAGGUUGCUGAAGCUCCCAGGGUGAGGCCGGGAGCUGCUGAGACUCGGCUGUCCCCUUUCCCAAGGGUCCAGGGUCACUGACACCUUGCCCUGCGCGGCUGCGUGUGUCUAAUGUCCAGGGGGGGAGGCGGAGCCUUUGGGAAAAUCUUUGAAUUUUUCCAGGCGGUCUAGAACUGGGAUGGGGCCCACAGUGUGGAUUCAACUUCUCUGGGAGCCCAGCUGGCCCUGGCGUCUGAGGUAGGGUGGUCCCUGCGUGCUUGUUUUCAGGGUCUGGAGAACCACUGGCCACACCGCCUGGAAGAAACGGCUGAGGGUCGAGCCCCCCGAGUUACCAGCCCCAGAAUUCUUUCUCCCCUUCCCCGGCCAGUCCUACCGUUCCUUCCACGACUGUUUUAUUUUCAUUCUCUCUUCCUAUGGCUGCGAGAGACUGCUAAUUUAUGUUUUUAUUCUUUCUUUCUUUCUUUAUGUAUUUUUUAUUUUUGCUUUUUAGCAUAUGGAGGUUCCCAGGCUGGGGGUCGAAUUGGAGCUGCAGCCGCUGACCUCACCACAGCUCGCGGCAACACCGGAUCCUUAACCCACUGAGCGAGGCCAGGAAUCGAACCUGCCUCCUCAUGGAUACUAGUUGGGUUUGUUUCCGCUGCACCACGAUGGGAACUCCUUUUUAUUUAUUUUUUAAGACUGCAUCUAUGGCUUAUGGAAGUCCCCAGGCUAGGGGUCAAAUCAGAGCUCCAGCUGCUGGCCUGCACCACAGUCACAGCCACAGCCACAGCCACGCGGGAUCUGAGCUGCAUCUGCAACCUAAACCACAGCCCAUGGCAACACUGGAUCCUUAACCCCCCGAGUGAGCCCAGGAAUCGAACCCGCAUCCUCGUGGAUACUAGUUGGGUUCGUUACCGCUGAGCCACGAUGGAAACUGCCUUUUCAAAGUAAUUUAGUGACGCUGCAUCUUCUGUACACCUGCCCACAGGUCUGGGACCUGGCCCACCUGUCCUGUCCCAGGUACCCUUUGAUAAGAGGUCUUGUCAGCCCAGGUGGGCUUAAAUUAGGACCCAAGCCAAGCAGUCGUGUUCACGUUGCCCAUGUGGCCUUAUUGUAGAUAAAUUCAUGGGUUUCUUUAGAUUUUGGCACGUUUAACAUGUUUGAAUAGAGAAUGCCCUUCGCGACUACCUUCAGGGACCCAAGGCUGGAACUGAGAUGCUGGUGCUCGGUUUAGUCUGAAGCAUAUGCCUUCCAGCCUUUGGGUGCAGGUUCCCCCUCUGCCUGGGUGCAGGGAAAGAGGGGGGUCACCUUUGAGGGAGAAGGUUCUGGACUCUUUGGAAGCACAUGUCAAUGUCCGGCUUCUUGCUGGCCAGCGCUCGCCCAUCACUGAUGCUCUGAGUGACUGCGGGGUGAGCAGAGGAGGGAUCCCUGCCAGGCACUGCCUGGGGGAAGGGGUUGUCUGAGUGCCUUUGGGGUGCGGUGCCAGGGUGGGGGGCACAAGUUUCUGGCUCCCCCACCACCUGCCUCCCUCCCCACCAUGCCCCCAUCCCCCCCACCGAGGGCACGAUGCCUCAUCACUGCAGACAGGAGGCGCUCAGGGAGCUCAGUAUCGGGUCCACAGGCCCUCAGCUUCUGCCCGAUGCCAGGGAGUGGCUGGUCUCCAAGUUCACCAGGGGCCACCACACAGCUCGGGGGUGGAUCCCGUCGGCAGCAACCGCCCACAGCGGUGACUGUCCCCCUUCAGCUGCACACCCCGUCAUCACGCCCGGGCGGCCUUUUCCAUUUCCAAGGUCAGCUCUGAGCGGGGUCCCAGAGGGUCCCCGCUCUGGGGGCUGCACAGAGCCUGGAAGUCUGGGGCAGGGGCAGACCCACGAGGAAGAAGCCUCUCCGACUGAAGCAGUCUUGGGAGGACAGGGGCCACCCAGCACCCAGGACCUCUCUGCGAUGCCCAUUGGCUGGAAGGUGGGGUGACAGGGGCUGGGGCGGGCGUAUGGCAAAAGGAUUCUUUAGACCUCAAGAAGCAAGGUGGCAGCUUCCUGCUGUGCUGGGCUGUAACGAUGCCUUCAGGUGUGUGUGUUGGGGGGUCCCUUUUAGACCUGCAUCCCCGUCAGCUCAGAGCCUGGGCACGUCUGCGUUGUUUCCACCCCGGUGGUGGCAUUUACAGGCGUGGACUGAGCUCACUGUGGAUGCUCUCGUGGGUCCUUGCUCACGUGGCACUUGACGCCCUUUCUGUCUGCUGAGGCCGCAGGGACGAGAAGGGGGCUGGCGGGCAGAGGAGCAGCUGCUGCCUUGGUGCUCGGUGGCUGGGAACCUUCUUCCCACGGCUAAGCCUCUGUUUCCUCCUCUGGGAAGUGGGGCGUUAACUGAGAUAACGCGUGGAAGGGCCCAGCCUGGUGCCUGGGCAUGCUGGACACCUGGAAAGGCAGCUGCCAUUCAUUCUGUCCAGGUGGGCUGUGGCAUCAAACGGCCGAGGACAGGAAUCAGGGGCCCCUCUGCGCGUCUCCACGGACAGAACCUUUCAGUGGCUGCCCCUGCCCCAAGUUCCCAGGGUUCUUGGUGGAGGGUGGGGGGGUCGUUUGGCCCAAGUCCCUCCCCAGCCAGAGACCCGGGCACAGGGAGCGGGAGGGGCUUGCUCAGGCUGUUCGCUGUUCUAGGCAGCGGGAUACAGAGAUGAGGGCUCAGCCCCUGGAGGAUGCCAGGCAAAGGGACUGGGAGCCGUGCGAUGCCUUCAGGGACCAUCGAGGGAGGCUGAGAGCUCUGGAAGGGGCCUGAGCCGGGACAUGAAAGAGGCGAAGCCAUUCCCCGUGGAGGAUGGGAGGCCACUGGAGGCGGAGGGAGUGACGGCACUCGGGGUGUUCUGGGCCCUGCGAGUAGCCAGCUUGACGUCGGGAGCCUAGGACACGGUGCAGAGGGGGUGGAACAGGUCACCAGCAGCAGAUCAAGGGGUGCACAGGUGCCAGGCUUGGGGGUCUGUUGUUUCUCCCUUGUCUUGGGAGAUGGAGGGUUCCCAGCUGUGUGACUUAGGAAGAAUCACUUCACCUCUCUGAGCCUUCCGUGGUCAUCUGUAAACUGGGGAAGCUGGUGAUGCUGAUGGUUACGGGGCUCGAAUAAGGGUCUAGACGUGCGCAGCCCUAGUGCACGGGAGCAUUGCCCUGUCACCUUUUGUGCCCCCCCCCAACCCCAGGGUCUGAUGUGUUAAUUGUGUGUGACAGCUUUUCAACUAGUGAUCACUCUUAAGCCGUUGAUGGUCAAUUUGUUUUUCAGGCUUUCUUUAAAAUGAGUCUCGGUUUGGCUUCCAGGGGUAGGAAUCCCUGGCUGGAGUUGCUUUUUCCUCUGUAGAAAUAUUUGCAUGGGCCGCUGGCCACUUCUCCUGGGAAACUGGAUGCUCUGUGGCAUUGCUCCCGUCCUUAGGAGAAUGCUGGGGGCCUGGAAAGUUGGACGAUGUGUGUCCACUCUCUGACCCACCUCAAGGCCCAGGCCGCGCCUCCCCAUGCCGGGCCGGGCUAUGCCUGCUUCCCUAGGUCAGCAGAGUGUGGUCUGGGAGGCAGAAAGGCCCGAGGCAGCUGGCCCUGGGUGGGGAGGCCCAGCUCCCUUUGGCAGAGGGGAGGCUUCCCAUUUAGUUUGGAUCAGCAAAUAUUGAUGGAGGGCCGGUGUGUGCCAGCCUGGGGAAGGGCCCCCCAGGUGACCCCCACGCAGGCCCUGUCCUCAGUGAGCUCCCUGCUCCCGAGUUCCUUCUGGGUUGACCUGGAGGCGGCCGUGCCAGCCUCCUGCCGUGUGCUGGGGAGUCCAGAACCAGGAACCUGGCCUGAGGGGCGGGCCACACAGCACGGGUGGGGGCAGGAGGGGGAGAGGACACAGAUGCCUCCCACCCCAGUGUCACGACCAAGGUGGCAUCCCCAGGUACUGGGCUGAGAAUCCUUCACCUUUGGGGGAGCAGACAAAGCGCCCUUGGCCUCCAGAGGAGGCCUGUCGAGGUUGGAGGGCUGCCAGCUGUGCGUUCUGGAGCCAAGUGCACGGCCUAGACCCCUGGCCCUGAUGGCCGAUGUGCCAGCAUCUCGAGCCCUGGCACUGACCGUGCAGUGCAACCGGCCUUUCGGUGCUUGGCACCAGCUCAGCUGUGGGCUUCCUGAAACUGGGAUGACAAAGCUCCAAACGGGAUUUCAGCCGCCCCUGCCCACCCGAGUGGAAUCCGCCCUCCCUGCAGUCUGACCAGGCCUGGGCGCCGAGGCCGGGGCAGUGGGUGGGCUCGCCUGUCCGUGGUGUGGACCCCGCAGCAGCUCAGAUCUCUGCACACGCGUGGGUGAGCCCGGGGUGGUGGUGGGGUUCACUGCUGUUCACCCACCCUGGGUUAAUAAGAU